GGCCAGACUCCUACGGGAGGCAGCAGUGGGGAAUAUUGCACAAUGGGGGGAACCCUGAUGCAGCGACGCCGCGUGAGUGAAGAAGUAUUUCGGUAUGUAAAGCUCUAUCAGCAGGGAAGAAAAUGACGGUACCUGACUAAGAAGCCCCGGCUAACUACGUGCCAGCAGCCGCGGUAAUACGUAGGGGGCGAGCGUUAUCCGGAUUCACUGGGUGUAAAGGGAGCGUAGACGGCCGUGCAAGCCAGGAGUGAAAGCCCGGGGCCCAACCCCGGGACUGCUCUUGGAACUGUGCGGCUGGAGUGCGGGAGGGGCAGGCGGAAUUCCUGGUGUAGCGGUGAAAUGCGUAGAUAUCAGGAGGAACACCGGCGGCGAAGGCGGCCUGCUGGACCGCGACUGACGUUGAGGCUCGAAAGCGUGGGGAGCAAACAGGAUUAGAUACCCGAGUACC
rnacentral:rRNA from 1 species